CCUACGGGAGGCAGCAGUGAGGAAUAUUGGUCAAUGGACGAGAGUCUGAACCAGCAAAGUAGCGUGAAGGAUGAAUGCCCUCUGGGUUGUAAACUUCUUUUAUAAAGGAAUAAAACGAGGCACGUGUGCAUUUUUGCAUGUACUUUAUGAAUAAGGAUCGGCGAACUCCGUGCCAGCCGCCGCGGUAAUACGGAGGAUCCGAGCGUUAUCCGGAUUUAUUGGGUUUAAAGGGAGCGUAGAUGGGUUGUUAAGUCAGUUGUGAAAGUUUGCGGCUCAACCGUAAGAUUGCAAUUGAUACUGGCAGUCUUGAGUACAGGUGAGGUAGGCGGAAUUCGUGGUGUAGCGGUGAAAUGCUUAGAUAUCACGAAGAACCCCGAUUGCGAAGGCAGCUUACUAAACUGUGACUGACAUUGAUGCUCGAAAGUGUGGGUAUCAAACAGGAUUAGAUACCCCAGUAGUC
rnacentral:rRNA from 1 species